rnacentral:tRNA from 1 species
GGGGAUGAAGUUUUAAAACAUUUAAAUUGCAAUUAAAAAAAACUAUAAUUUUAUAGUCUUCCUCA